rnacentral:rRNA from 1 species
ACGAACGCUGGCGGCAUGCCUAAUACAUGCAAGUCGAACGCUUGGGAGCAAUCCCAAGAGUGGCGGAACGGGUGGAGUAAACGCGUGGGAACCCUGCCCUUGAGUGCGGGGAUAACCGAGGGAAAACCUCGGCUAAUACCGCAUGCGCCCCGAGCAAUCGGGGGAAAGAUUUUAUCGCUCGAGGAGGGGCCCGCGUCGGAAUUAGCUAAGUUGGUGGGGGUUAACGGCCUACCAAGGCGAUGAUCCGUAGCUGGUCUGAGAGGAUGAUCAGCCACACUGGGACUGAGACACGGCCCCAGACUCCUACGGGAGGCAGCAGUGGGGAAUAUUGGACAAUGGGCGAAAGGCCUGAUCCAGCCAUGCCCGCGUGGGUGAAGGAAGGCCUUAGGGUUUGUAAAACCCCUUUCAGCGGGGGAAGAUUAAUGACGGUACCCGCAGAAGAAGCCCCGGCUAACUCCGUGCCAGCAGCCGCGGUUAAUACGGAGGGGGGCUAGCGUUGUUCGGAAUUACUGGGCCGUAAAAGCGCGCGUAGGCGGACCUGCAAGUCGGGGGUUGAAAGCCCGAGGCUCAACCCUCGGAAACUGCCUUCGAUACUGCGGGUCUCGAGUCCGGGAGAGGUGAGUGGAAUUCCUAGUGUAGAGGUGAAAUUCGUAAAAUAAUUAGGAAGAACACCAGUGGCGAAGGCGGCCUCACUGGCUUCGGUACUGACGCUGAGGCGCGAAAGCGUGGGGGAGCAAACAGGAUUAGAUACCCUGGUAAGUCCACGCCCGUAAAACUAUGGGUGCCUAGCCGUCGGUUCGGCAAUGCCGGUCGGUGUGCGCAGCAAACGCAUAUAAAGCACCCCGCCUGGGGAGUACGGUUCGCAAGAUUAAAACUCAAAGGAAUUGACGGGGGCCCGCAACAAGCGGUGGAGCAUGUGGUUAUUAAUUCGAGGCAACGCGAAGAAACCUUACCAGCCCUUGACUUCCCGAUCGGGGCUCCGGAGACGGAAGCUCUUCAAUUGGUUCGGUGGACAGGUUGCUGCAUGGCUGUCGUCCAGCUCGUGUGUCGUGAGAUGUUGGGUUAAGUCCCGCAACGAGGCGCAACCCCUGCCAUUAGUUGCCAUCAUUUAGUUGGGCACUCCUAGUGGGACUGCCGGUGAUAGGCCGGAGGGAAGGUGGGGGUGACGUCAAGUCAUCAUGGCCCUUACGGGCUGGGCUACACACGUUGCUACAAUGGCGGUGACAAUGGGCAGCCCAGCCUCCGCGAGGAGGCGCUAAUCCCAAAAAAAGCCGUCUCAGUUCGGAUUGUUCUCUGCAACUCGAGAGCAUGAGGUCGGAAAUCGCUAGUAAUCGCGGAUCAAGCGUGCCGCGGUGAAUACGUUCCCGGGCCUUGUACACACCGCCCGUCACACCAUGGGAGUUGGGCUUUACCCGAAGACGGUGCGCUAACCAGCAAUGGAGGCAGCCGGCCACGGUAGGGUCAGCGACUGGGGUG